rnacentral:ncRNA from 1 species
CCUAUGGAGUGUACUAGAACUUGUGAGUAGCAAAUUACUUGUAAUUGCAAAAGCAUACACGAAGAAGUAGGAA